UUCGUUGCCUGGCAACCUAUCGUUUAUUAUAUAUUAGAUUUGUAGCAUCAACAGGUGAUGCUAUGGGUAUGAAUAUGUUAUCGAAGGGUUCAGAAAAAGCUUUAAAUUUUAUUGCUGAAAAAUUUCCAGAAAUGGAGAUUGUUAGUUUAAGUGGUAAUUAUUGUACAGAUAAAAAACCUGCUGCAAUAAAUUGGAUUGAAGGGCGAGGGAAAUCAGUCGUAACUG